rnacentral:rRNA from 1 species
GCAGUCUGCAACUCGAGUGCAUGAAGCUGGAAUCGCUAGUAAUCGCGAAUCAGAAUGUCGCGGUGAAUACGUUCCCGGGUCUUGUACACACCGCCCGUCACACCAUGGGAGUCGGAAAUGCCCGAAGUCAGUGACCUAACCGAAAGGGAGGAGCUGCCGAAGGUGGAGCCGGUAACUGGGGUGAAGUCGUAACAAGGUAGC